rnacentral:lncRNA from 1 species
UCCCACAGCAUAUGGAGGUUCCCUAGCCAUUUCUUGAGCUGCUCCCACAGCAUAUGGAGGUUCCCAGGCUAGGGGUCUAAUUGGAGCUGUGCCAGAGCUGACCUAUGCCAGAGCCACAGCAACGCGGGAUCCAAGCUGCAUCUGUAAUCUACACCACAGCUCACGGCAACGCCGGAUCAUUAACCCACUGAGCAAGGAUCCGGCAUUGCGGUAAGCUGUGGUGUAGGCCAGUGGCUACAGUUCCCAUUUGACCCUUAGCCUGGGAACCUUCAUGUGUUGCCAACGUGGCCUAAAAAAAAACAAAAAACCUUUCGAAUCUAAAUUAUUGUGACAAAUGAAACACAGGUGACACAGUAGCAAACUAUAACUUCGUGUAGUUGAGGGUCUUUCCCUCAUCCUUCAGAUCACGGAACAGGAAUGGGAUGCUGGCUCAGGCUCUGCUGCCCUAUUUCCUUUAGAAACAUCCUAAAUAAUGACAUCAGGUUGCUAUGCAUUUUCCCAUGACAGUUUUUUUUUUUUGGGGGGGGGGAUUUUUGUUUUUUGACAAUUACAAAAAGAGAAUAAGAGCCUCACCUUAAAAUGACUUACUUUGUACCAGGGCAAGGCCAAAUGCUUAAAAUAUAUGACCCUGUGACCUUUUCCUAACAGUCUGAUGGGGAAGGUGCUACCACUGGUACCAAAUAGCUAAGCCACGGGCUGAGGAGAUCAGCCUGCCUGGGGGGCACGUGUGCCAGGACGAGUGAUGGGGGUCUUCACUCAGCUCACGCCCUCAACCCCAGCAGCCAUCGGCCUCCAGGACUGUGCACUUCUCUUGUGAGGGAAAGACAUUUUCCUUCUUUUUUUUUUCUCAAAGAAAAACACUAACAAGGCUUUUGGAGGGCUUUCCUGAAGCUUUGUGCUAUUUUCUCAUUGAGCAUAUGGCUUUCAGAGGUGGAUGUGUAAUACCCGUGGCACAUUUUAUAAAGCUUUUCCAGAUUAAGUUCUAAACACCCUCCAAGUAGCACUUAGAAGCAAUUCCUGACCGGCCAGGUCCUUGCUGUGUCCUGCAGGGGUGCGGGAUUUGGGUCUGCGUGGUGGUGUUGUCACAACUGGACAGUAGCUAAGGGGAGACACUGGCACCUCCAACGGGGAUGUGAGUGAGUGGGUACCAACAGCCUCAGCUUUUCCUCCAGAAAACAGUCUUGGACACAUGUGAUCAGGACCCACGUUCUGUCCAUGGUCAAAAGACAUCCAGUCCUUUUUGUCUCAACUUAGACUAAGAUUUUCACAAUAUAAAAUUUUCAGAAACUGCCUUUGGCAUAGUAAGUACAAGUAAUUUAUCAGAUAAAAGAAUGUCAAUGACAACUACAGUAUAAUUUGUAUGGUGACAAAUUGUACCGUCCUUCCUAGGAAGAAAGGGACACCGCUGUGCUCGGAGUGGCUGGGGGCAGGGUCAUGAAGAAGCACUUGUGUUUGAUGUGUGGCUCCCAGAAACACCACCCGUCCUUUCAGAGGUGGAUGCAAAUUACACCUAAUAAAGUUAUUAGACAUAAUUGCUGCUUCUUGUCUGCUGCACACUUGGCAAGUGAGGGGAGGUGGAACAGCCUGGAGGGAGCCAUGCUGUGUAUCCCAGAACGCAGACAUUUGAUGUGGCACUCCUGGUCAUCACCCAGGUCUGAUGUGGUCUCAGUUAUGCAACUCAAUUUAUAAUAGCCCCCCAAAGAAUAAAAUACUUGGGAUAAAUUUAAGCAAGGAGGUGAAAGAUCUGUAUGCUGAAAACCAUAAGACAUUGAUGAAAGAAAUGGAAAAAACAAAUAAAUGGAAAGACAUCUCAUGUUCAUGGAUUAAAGGAAUUAAUAUUGUUAAGAUAUCCAUACCACGUACAGCCAUCUAUAGAUUCAAUGCAGUUUCUACCAAAAUUCCAAUGGCAUUCUUCACAGAAAUAGAAAAAACAAUCCUAAAAUUCAUAUGGAACCACAAACAACCCUGAAUAGCCAAAGUAAUCUUGAAAAAGAAUAAAUCUGAAGGCAUGACACUUCCUGAUUUCACACAAUGCUACAGAGUUAAUCAAAACAGUAUGACAUUGGCAUAAAAACAGACACAGGGAGUUUCCAUUGUAGCACAAUAAGAUCAGUGGUGUCUAGAACACUGGGACAUAGGUUCCAGCCUUGGCCCAGCACUGUGGAUUAAGGAUGCGGAGUUGCCACAGCUGUGGUGUAGGUCACAACUGUGGCUCAGAUCUGAUCCCUGCCCCAGGAAGACCAUAUGCUGCAGGGUGGCCAAAAAAGAACCCCCCCACCAAAAAAAUACCCCAGACAUCUGGAUCAAUGGAACAGAAUAGAGAGCCAGAAAUAAACCUACAUAUGGUCAACUAAUCACUGACAAGAAUGUUGAGAACACAUGAUGGGGAAAUGAUGGUUUCUUCAAUAAAUGGCACUGGGGAAUUCCCGUCAUGGCUCAGUGGAAACAAAUCUGACUAGUAUCCAUGAGCAUGCAGGUUCAAUCCCUGGCCUCACUCAGUAGGCGAAGGAUCCAGUGUUGCCGUGAGCUACUGUGUAGGUCACAGAUGAGACUCAGAUCCUGUGUUGCUGUGGCUGUGGCAAAGGCCGGUGGAUAUAGCUCAGAUUCGACCCCUAGCCUGGGAACUCCAGUAUGCUGUAGGUAUGGCCCUCAAAAGACAAAAAAAACAGGGGUGGGAAAAAUAUGUGCAAAACAUUUAUCUGGCACAGGGUUAACAUCCAAAAUAUAUAAGAAAUUUAUACAACUCAGUAACAAUAAUGACAACAAUACAACAAUUACAACACAUUUUGAAAAUGGGCAAAGGACUUCAGUAGACAUUCUUCCUAUGACAUGCAAAUGACCUACAGGUAUAUGAAAAGAUGCUAAAUUUCACUGAUCUUCAGGGAAAUGCAAAUCAAAACUAUAAUGAGAUAUCACCUCAUACCUGCUAAGGAAGCUAUUUAUUCUCAAAAAGACAAGUUGGGGAGGGUGUGUGAAAGGGAGCUCUUGUUCCAAGAGUAUUUCAGGACAUAAGUAUUUAGAGGCAAUUUAACACAGGAAUGUUAGGGUAAGAUUGCUGGGUUAUAUACAAAACUGCCUAAUAACCUACAGGACAAUAAACUAUAAUCUUUGGGGUUGUCAGUUGUUGAUGUGGUUACCUAGCUGGUGUAACAAUGUCAGUUGUCAAGUGUGAUUAACUAGCUGGCAUAACAAUAUCAGUUGUCGACAGUGGUUAUCUAGCUGGUGUACAAUAUCAGUUGUUGAGAGUGGUUAUCUAGCUGGUUGGUGUUAACCAUGUUAGUUGUUGAAGUAGUUGAGCACCUGGUAUAACAAUAUCCAUUGUCAAGUGUGAUUAACUAGCUGGUGUAACAGCAUUGGUUGCUGAGAGUGGUUAUCUAGCUGGUUGGUGUUGACAGUGCUGUUGUAAGAGCUGAGGGAGGGAAAGAUGAGAAAGUUCAUUUAGGAAUUAGGAGGUCACUUACCUUCGAAACCUGGGUUCAUGGAGUGGUUGUGGUUGGCAUCUAAGUCACAUAAAAAGCACUUAAGUAGCAAACUGGCAACCAGAAAGUGGGAGUGACUACUUAAGAAUAUUAAUUUUUUAAAUGUGUAAGUUUUUAAAAAGUAAUACAUGGAAAUAUUUAGUCAAGAUGAGUCUAGAAUCUAGAAUUUCAUGUUGAACACAUUGUUUCAAACACACAGCCAUAAUGGAUACGUAAAUUAUGAAAACAAAAUGAAGACACAGCAAACAACAGUUACUGGACCAAAAAUAGAGUGGUGUGAGGGCUCCGCCUGCUGACUUCUGGGUCUGGGAAUAGGUGAUGGGGGUGUGGACCAAGGGCUUGGGUGAGGCUGUCCUAUUCAGGGUAGGAAGCUAAACAAACCCAGUGACAACCUACCAACCAACCAACCAAAUCCUGUUACUGACUGCUGCCUGAAGUUUUCUUGCAGGCUGGAAGCCUAGAUGUAGGAUGACAAAGACCCAAACUGAAGACCAAGAAUUAAUCCAGCUGCCUCCAGAUUCCAGGCCUGGCACACUACCCCAUACUACAGCCUUGAGAUGCCAUGUGGGCUUGGGUUCUUGGCAGAGGAUGGAAGCAGCAGCAACAACGCUAAACAGGGAGUGAGGACAGAAAGAGUCACUUAAAAUGUGCCUGCAAACGAAUUCCAAGACAUGUGAAGAAAUCUAAUGCUAAGAAAGACAGUUAACACAGCAACGAGUAAAAUAUUUUUCACUCCAGAUAAUCAAAGGUAUGAAACAAAACAGGUAGGCAGAAAUGAAAUAAAAAUAAAUGGAUAAAAGAAAGAAUGGAUGAGAAAUCUUUGAAAUAAGUAGUGUGGUCACUGAAAUAAACAACCCAAACUGUCAAAGACAAAAGUUAAGUCUGAGACAAAAUUAAUGAAGACUGUUACAACUUUGUAGCCAGGGAUCCAUCUGCUGCCACUCCUUUCAGCAAGUGAUCAAGGGUGUUAGAAAGGACAGCAUUUCUGAGAGUAAAAGGAGGAGACACUGAGUGUCCAUCAAGAUGGUUUUGGGGGUGGGGGAGAUGUCCUGCAGGGUCUUCAGGUAAUUUUGACGGCCCUCCUUUGGCUGAUUGGGCAAGUGAGCAGUAUGGGGCCAUUUCAAAAGAGGAGUGCUGUCGGGUAUUCUGUGUUCUGCAGAACUGGGGGCUGCUGGGGCACUUCUGGAGCCAGCAUCCUCCUGAGAAGUGACUGGACCGCGGGGGGUGGGGAGGGCAGCAGCCUCUCAAGACUGACCACACCUCCUUGCCGGUUCCCAGGCAGCUGUUACCAAAAUGCCCACCUCCUGGGAGUGGGCAGAGCGAAGACUUCACUGCUGCACCCUGAGCAUUUUGGAUCUUGGAAAAUAAAACCUAUUCACUUAAUACAUGGUUUGGAAGUAUGACCACGUAUUUGGCCAGGAGGAAAACCUCAAAUUUAAAAAGCUGAGGUUCAGACCAGAUUCCUAAACUAUAAAUUAAUAACAAACGUAAAUAUAACCUAAUAACUUAAUUGCAAAAUUCAGGACUCUGAGGACGUAAACUGUUAGACCAUUCAUUGCAAGCAAUUUAUGGGAAUAAUGAAAUCUUAGGAAAUAAUACAUACAGGGAAUUUUUUUUCAAGUAUUCCUAUACUUGAUUCUCCAGGGUAAGGUUAGAGGCUUCAGGGAAAGCGGGGGCCACCAGUAGAAAGGCACUCGUGCGGCGCUAAGAGAGGCUGCGCAGCUACAGAACACGCACCACCAGAGUACCGCGGUCGGGGCUUUCUCAGGCAGUUCCUGGCUGGGAGCCGCAGGGAAGACGGGGGAGGGAGGCUAGCUUCAGCCUAUCGAGCGAAGAGAUCGGAAUUCCAGAGUUUCCUCAAACACAACCUUCCCACCGACACGUGCUGGACACUCCAGACCUUCACGCUACUAUGGAAACAGGAACUAGUCACCAGUCUUUAUUUACCCGAGGGGGACCUGCAGGGACCGGGUGCGCACGGGCGCCACUGGACCAAGCAGGGAGGUGGGGUCGGGUCGGCCCGGCAGGACGCCGAGAUUACGCACUGCGCUGAGGUGGGCCAUGCUCCCGUGAGCUGGGGUCCCGGGCGUGCGCGGCAAGGCGCUCGGUGGCCUCGAUCCGGUGUCAGGGAGGAACUCCGGCCAGGGACGAACCCAACCUGCGCGACCUCCCAAGCUCCAGAGUUGCUCAGCAGCCCCACCCAGCUCCGCUUUGGAAU